rnacentral:misc_RNA from 1 species
UUUAGUAGCUUCCUAGUGAGGAAAAUUAGAGGUAAGAUGCGUAAAUGCCAUUAAGUGACCCACGAGCUACGCAACUAAUCAGGGGAGAGCAAAAGAAAGGUUAAUUAUGUAACGCUAAUAAUACAAUUUAUAUUUCUAUCACUGUUAGAAUUCUGAAAUAAUAAAUUUAUCAAGAUCUCUAUACAAUGACUUAAAGCGUGGAGAGCGGCUUCGCAUUCACUGGCAAUUCGGAUGGUAAAUACUUUAUAAGUUCCUUGACAUCGUCUUCAGUAGAGGUUCACAAUCAAAAUUUGUAUGUUCCAUAAUUGGUCCAAGCCUAACUAGUUUCGGUAUAAUGAUAUUGUUCCGAACAGAACAAACAAUUGGGUCCUCCCACUGCAACAGCGAUCCGACGAGAUUUGCACGUAUGGUUAAUGGGAAGAUACGGGGCCAUCGUUCACUUCCAUAUGACCUGAAAGCAUCUUCUAUAGAUGCAGGUUCAGAGUUGAUUGCAUUUGCAAGCUUUCUUGCUAGAACUACAGAAUCCUCCAAUGCACAACAAGCACCUUGCCCCAGAUUGGGAGUCAUUGGGUGCCAUGCAUCUCCAACCAGCACAAUCCUUCCCGUUGAAGCAGAAGGGCUUAUGGCUGGCCACAGCCAACGAUCUACGAGGGGAGUUUUACUGACUGUUUCAUCUGGGGAUAGAUCUAUUAAGUUCAGUAGCUCAGAAGGCCAGUUCCUGAUAAGUUCCUUAGCUUGCUUCCUCAACUCAGAUGGAUUGGUAAUUUUUGGACCUGGAGAUGGGCUGUUGAAGCAGAUAAACCAGUACACUUUUGUUGGAGAAACAGGAACAUAUCCAGCACGUAAUCCCCUUCCAUAGACAUAAUUCACUCUUGGUUCGAAUGGAUGCCCAUCGGAAUAAACUCCUAGCCCGCGGAAUGCACAAUGCCCUACAUAUUUAGGUUCGGAGAAUCCCAUCCACUUCGCAACUGGAGAUCGAAUGCCAUCACAGCCAAUAACAAUCUUCGCAAGUAGCUGGUUUCCAUCCUUCAGUUUCAGAAGAGUCUCUCCAUUUUCACUUGUCUCAAUCUUUUCCAGCCCUGAAGAAAAAUGGACUGCUUCUGUUGGCAACUGAUUGGCAAGAGUUUCCAGAAGUAUUCUCCUCUCCACUGCACGAACUUCUUGGCUUUCAUCUUCAUCUUUAAACAUGAAGGAGCGAAGCUCCCUUCCAUCUUCCGACUUCACCACCAUCCUGCACAGCCUUGAAUUUCAAGAAAUUGGCUCCUGAGAUGACUACCAACUCCGAUUACGUCCAAUACCCUCCAACCAUUUUUGAAAAGGGUGAGUGAGGUUCCACCAGUUCUAAGUGAUUCUGCCUGCUCCAGCACCACUGAUCGAAUUCCGAGCCUAAACAUAAAUAGUUCCGCUAGAGUUACGUAUAUGAUAAAAGAGAAUGCUGAUGGCUGAUGGUUUAAGCUAAUCUGACCUCUGGAGAGACACUGCAGUGGCAAGGCCAGCAAUCCCAGCACCCACGAUGACGAUAUCCUCCUUGCUAACAUCAGAUUUUACAGCUCUAGUAAUUGACAAAGAGGUGGUUCUGGUUCUGGUGCGGAGAAGAAACCAAGAUUGGGCUUUUGGGAAUUGUGGAGUAGGAGGAAACUGAAGAGUAGAUGAUGAGAAAUGGGAGUUAAGGAAGGGAAGCGAGGAAGAGGCUACCGCCAUUGAUGAUGUUGGGGGCACAGCAAAAGCAGAGACCUGAGAGGGAGAGGAAAAACAAGUGGUGGAGAUGAAAGGGUUGGCGUUCA